rfam:Amborella trichopoda AMTR_V1.0_contig_13858, whole genome shotgun sequence.
ACCAAUUUUUGGGGGUUUGAUUUGUGGUUCCCCCAGAUGUAAUGGCUUGGGCGCCAUACUAGCUUUUGUGGCUAUUCUGAACCAUGGCCUUUUGCUGUUGCCGUUGUUCUGGGAAACUCCACACACACUA